CGGGUGAGUAACGCGUGGGUAACCUGCCUCACACAGGGGGAUAGCAGUUGGAAACGGCUGAUAAUACCGCAUAAGCGCACAGUACCGCAUGGUACAGUGUGAAAAACUCCGGUGGUGUGAGAUGGACCCGCGUCUGAUUAGCUUGUUGGCAGGGUAACGGCCUACCAAGGCGACGAUCAGCAGCCGACCUGAGAGGGUGACCGGCCACAUUGGGACUGAGACACGGCCCAA
rnacentral:rRNA from 1 species